GUGGGAUGUCGGAGCGCAGGGAAGGGGGAACCACUGGGAAGAAGGCAUCGGGGAGGGGGAGAACCAUCGGGAAGGAGGCACUGAUGAGGGGGGGAAGUCGGGUGAGCUCGGAGCUGCGGGAUGCUUGAGCAUAGGGAGGGGGGAACCGCCGGGAAGGAGGCAUCGGGGAGGGAGGGAACCAUCGGGAAGGAGGCAUCGAUGAGGGAGAGAAAAGUCAGGAAGGAGGAGGCACC
rnacentral:lncRNA from 1 species